rnacentral:rRNA from 1 species
CAAGUCGAACGGGGUAGCAAUACCUAGUGGCAGACGGGUGAGUAACAUGUGGGUAUCUUCCCCUUGGUGAGGAAUAACACGAGGAAACUUGUGCUAAUACCUCAUAAGUCUUUAUGGAGAAAGCUUUAUGCGCCAAUGGAUGAGCCUGCACUUGAUUAGUUAGUUGGUAGGGUAAUGGCCUACCAAGACUUUGAUCAAUAGCUGAUUUGAGAGGAUGAUCAGCCACAUUGGGACUGAGACACGGCCCAAACUCCUACGGGAGGCAGCAGUAGGGAAUCUUGCACAAUGGAGGAAACUCUGAUGCAGCGAUGCCGCGUGAGUGAAGAAGGCCUUUGGGUUGUAAAGCUCUUUCGUCGGGGAAGAAAAUGACUGUACCCGAAUAAGAAGGUCCGGCUAACUUCGUGCCAGCAGCCGCGGUAAUACGAAGGGACCUAGCGUAGUUCGGAAUUACUGGGCUUAAAGAGUUCGUAGGUGGUUAAAAAAGUUGGUGGUGAAAUCCCAGAGCUUAACUCUGGAACUGCCAUCAAAACUUUUUAGCUAGAGUAUGAUAGAGGAAAGCAGAAUUUCUAGUGUAGAGGUGAAAUUCGUAGAUAUUAGAAAGAAUACCGAUUGCGAAGGCAGCUUUCUGGAUCAUUACUGACACUGAGGAACGAAAGCAUGGGUAGCGAAGAGGAUUAGAUACCCUCGUAGUCCAUGCCGUAAACGAUGUGUGUUAGAUGUUGGAAAUUUAUUUUCAGUAUCGCAGCGAAAGCGUUAAACACACCGCCUGGGGAGUACGACCGCAAGGUUAAAACUCAAAUGAAUUGACGGGGACCCGCACAAGUAGUGGAGCAUGUGGUUUAAUUCGAAGAUACGCGCAGAACCUUACCACACUUGACAUGUUUGUCGCGACUUUAAGAGAUUAAGUCUCGGUCGCGACAAAACACAGUGCUGCAUGCUGUCGUCAGCUCGUGUCGUGAGAA